rnacentral:rRNA from 1 species
GACGUGCUAAUCUGCGAUAAGCGUCGGUAAGGUGAUAUGAACCGUUAUAACCGGCGAUUUCCGAAUGGGGAAACCCAGUGUGAUUCGUCACACUAUCAUUAACUGAAUCCAUAGGUUAAUGAGGCGAACCGGGGGAACUGAAACAUCUAAGUACCCCGAGGAAAAGAAAUCAACCGAGAUUCCCCCAGUAGCGGCGAGCGAACGGGGAGCAGCCCAGAGCCUGAAUCAGUGUGUGUGUUAGUGGAAGCGUCUGGAAAGGCGUGCGAUACAGGGUGACAGCCCCGUACACAAAAAUGCACAUACUGUGAGCUCGAUGAGUAGGGCGGGACACGUGGUAUCCUGUCUGAAUAUGGGGGGACCAUCCUCCAAGGCUAAAUACUCCUGACUGACCGAUAGUGAACCAGUACCGUGAGGGAAAGGCGAAAAGAACCCCGGCGAGGGGAGUGAAAAAGAACCUGAAACCGUGUACGUACAAGCAGUGGGAGCACGCUUAGGCGUGUGACUGCGUACCUUUUGUAUAAUGGGUCAGCGACUUAUAUUCUGUAGCAAGGUUAACCGAAUAGGGGAGCCGAAGGGAAAACGAGUCUUAACUGGGCGUUAAGUUGCAGGGUAUAGACCCGAAACCCGGUGAUCUAGCCAUGGGCAGGUUGAAGGUUGGGUAACACUAACUGGAGGACCGAACCGACUAAUGUUGAAAAAUUAGCGGAUGACUUGUGGCUGGGGGUGAAAGGCCAAUCAAACCGGGAGAUAGCUGGUUCUCCCCGAAAGCUAUUUAGGUAGCGCCUCGUGAAUUCAUCUCCGGGGGUAGAGCACUGUUUCGGCAAGGGGGUCAUCCCGACUUACCAACCCGAUGCAAACUGCGAAUACCGGAGAAUGUUAUCACGGGAGACACACGGCGGGUGCUAACGUCCGUCGUGAAGAGGGAAACAACCCAGACCGCCAGCUAAGGUCCCAAAGUCAUGGUUAAGUGGGAAACGAUGUGGGAAGGCCCAGACAGCCAGGAUGUUGGCUUAGAAGCAGCCAUCAUUUAAAGAAAGCGUAAUAGCUCACUGGUCGAGUCGGCCUGCGCGGAAGAUGUAACGGGGCUAAACCAUGCACCGAAGCUGCGGCAGCGACGCUUAUGCGUUGUUGGGUAGGGGAGCGUUCUGUAAGCCUGUGAAGGUGUGCUGUGAGGUAUGCUGGAGGUAUCAGAAGUGCGAAUGCUGACAUAAGUAACGAUAAAGCGGGUGAAAAGCCCGCUCGCCGGAAGACCAAGGGUUCCUGUCCAACGUUAAUCGGGGCAGGGUGAGUCGACCCCUAAGGCGAGGCCGAAAGGCGUAGUCGAUGGGAAACAGGUUAAUAUUCCUGUACUUGGUGUUACUGCGAAGGGGGGACGGAGAAGGCUAUGUUGGCCGGGCGACGGUUGUCCCGGUUUAAGCGUGUAGGCUGGUUUUCCAGGCAAAUCCGGAAAA